GGGUCAGUAGGUUGGUCGUGCCACCGGUACGUACUGGUCUCACUGAUUCCUCCUUCCUGAAGAACCGUAAUGCCAUUAAUUUGGUGUUGCGGGGAAACUGGACUGUUACUUUGAAAAAAUUAGAGUGUUUAAAGCAAGCUAACGCUUGAAUACAUUAGGAUGGAAUAAUGAAAUAGGACGAUCGAUCCUAUUUUGUUGGUUUCUAGGAUUGACGUA
rnacentral:rRNA from 1 species